AGAUAUGAUCCAGAGUACCACGGGACACGUGAAACCCUGUGGGAAGCAGGAGGGACCACCCUCCAAGGCUAAAUACUACCUAGUGACCGAUAGCGUAUAGUACCGGGAGGGAAAGGUGAAAAGAACCCCGGGAGGGGAGUGAAAUAGAACCUGAAACCCUGCACUUACAAGCUGUGGAAGCACAUUUCUUGUGUGACCGCGUACUUUUUGUAGAACGGGCCAACGAGUUACGUUAAGUAGCAAGGUUAAGCACUUAAGGUGCGGAGCCGUAGCGAAAGCGAGUUUUAACUGAGCGUUCAGUUACUUGACGUAGACCCGAAACCGGGCGA
rnacentral:rRNA from 1 species